AUAAUAAAGGGCAUCAUGGGAACAGAAAGGUGCAAAAUAGCUAUUUUGAAACUGUUUCAAGCAAAUUUGCAUUCACCCCUUAUUUUAUACAGAAAUAGACAAAUUUCUUGCAAAAUCACUAUUGGUACAAGUAAUCUCAUGGCAGUAUUUCUUUGGCCAAUGUGUUUGAUGGAGCUCCAUCAUUGCUUUUGAUACCUGCUUUAUGCAUCAAAUAUUUAGCUUGUGUGAAACAGGAAAUUAUUUAGUUAUUGGAUUCGUCCAACUGCUUCUGGUCAGAAUUUGUGGAGCAGCUCAUUCUUCAUUUGAUGGAACUGCUAAUCACCACUGCUACAUCAGCCAUUCUCUACAUCCUGGCAUCAUAUUAUCGGUAAAGAAUCGGUCAAGAGGCCAAAGGAACAGUGCAUAAAGCUUUUUAUCUUGUUUCUUGUUUUUACUCUGUUUAUUCAGUUGUGAAAUGAAAGGAGGAACUUUGUAAAAAUGGAACAGUAAUAGGAAAGGAAAUUUUUGGUUAAAAUAGCAUUGCUGUAUAUUUGUUCUGCACUUGUUCUGUUUUUGGCCACAUACAAUGGAUUAAAUAUUAUGUAUAAAUACUUGUUAAUUCAU